UCUAAUGAAACGAAUCAGUCUGGCUGCUCCUCGUGCCUUUCCCAACCCCCCUUUUUCCCCACAGACGUCAGUCGUCUUGGGGAUAGCCGGCAAAUCCUGGCUAAGCUCCACCAGCAGACGCGAUUAAGAAAGCUCUUCUCAAUUUUUCAUCUUUACUUUCGUAGCAAAGCGGCAGCGGUCGCCGAUCCUGCGUUUCCCGAGGGGAAGCACAGACGGAGACAACAAUGACUGUGCUGUCUGCAGCGCAACACGGGAGACGUGCGUUCUGAGGGAACCGAGUCUGCUGCUCUAUUCUGAGCGCUCCGCCGACGUUAGAAUCAGACGAGCAAACGGAACCGCGCGUCCUCGGGGAAUCCCCGGAGCGGGUCUUCAUAAAGGAGGGCAUAAAUCUCCAACGCAAUCCGCCGGCACGCGGGACAUUACGGGAAAACCUCUUGGAAAGCCCGAGACGACACUAGACUGCCUUGUCCGCUGCCGUCUCGGAUCUGCGGGACAUCAACAAACUCCGCCUGUGAUACAGCUCGUCUGAUUCCUGCGGUGCAGACUGCGAUAAAGAAAUAUAUAUAUUACCUUACUGCAAUCAGCAGGCCGGCUAUCAGAGAUCACAGUUAGAGGGGAUAAAAUUAAGAGCCCAGCAAUGCAGCGUGCAGCUAGUCUCUUCAUCGGUUCAUCAGUCAAAAAGGAAAGCUGUGGGAAUUCUAUGUUUUUACAUGCAAUAAAUGUUAUUUUUUCUUUUUUUUAUGUAAUAGUGAAAGGAUUGCGGGCUCCAGUUCUGCAGUUUGACUCUGCAGUUUCCCAGGGUAAGGCCCGAAGCCUAUCUCAUUCUUGCUCGUUUAAAUAUCGACUACAACUUAUCGUUUUUUUCCCUCUCUCCUUCUUAUGCUGCCAGGACCGGGGUUUUGUAAUGUUCAUUUAGAGGGGCGAUUUCUUUUGCCUUUCACUGGACCGGGCAGCGUUCUUCAGUCCAGACUUCGCAUUUCUUCACGUGCAGGAUGCUGACAGUUUAUCAGGCUUAGGAAGGCCCCGUAUUUAAUGCAACAUAUUUAAUCUUUGGCCAGUUAGUAUAAAUUAGAAAAUUAUUAAGAAAAGCCACUCAUGUAAACAAAGUAAUAUAAUGAAUAUCACAGAUUUGUCUGAAUGUUCAGCACAUCCUAAAGAAAGGAAAAUAUCACAUAGCCAAUAUAUUUUCCUCAGAUCGUUUCCUCAUACGCACUCAUCAUUUCAUACAAGGUAAUAUUGCUGUUUUCUGUAAAGAUGCAAUAACGAAAUAAAUUGUUUAAAACUCA